UCUCAUCUCGAAAGCUGUUGCCAAAAUUUGAAACGAAGAAGGAAUUUGCUAAGGCUUUAGAAAAAUGAUCCAUCUUUUUUUAUUUAUUUGAUUAAAAACGAUUUGUAACCUCAACCCCACACCCAAAACAUGAAUUGAAUAGAACACCUAUUGGUAUAAUAGUGUAAGGGGAUUAAUUUGGAAAAUGUAUUUUUUUUUACUAAAACAUGUAAUUUAUUUUUUUUUGCAUUGAAAAUGUAAUCUUAAGAUUUGUUCUUUAUUAAAAUGUGAUUUUUUUUAAAGCAUAUAAUACAAAUUGUCUGUUUUAAUAGUAAGGAAUAUACGUUUGAAAGGGCAUUUUUGUUUGCGAAUAGAGGAACCUUAGGACAUAAUUUUUUUUUGCUAAAAACUUGUGGUAUCGUUAAGAAAAAACCAAAUUCAACUUUUAGUACCAUAGGCAUACGAAAAUUAAAAAAAAAAAAAAAAAAAGUUCAA